AUGAACGCUGGCGGCGUGCUUAACACAUGCAAGUCGCACGAUGAAGCCCAGCUUGCUGGGCGGAUUAGUGGCGAACGGGUGAGUAACACGUGAGUAACCUGCCCUUGACUCUGGGAUAAGCCCGGGAAACUGGGUCUAAUACCGGAUAGGAGCGCCUGUCGCAUGACGGGUGCUGGAAAGAUCUUUCGGUCAUGGAUGGACUCGCGGCCUAUCAGCUUGUUGGUGAGGUAACGGCUCACCAAGGCGACGACGGGUAGCCGGCCUGAGAGGGUGACCGGCCACACUGGGACUGAGACACGGCCCAGACCCCUACGGGAGGCAGCAGUGGGGAAUAUUGCACAAUGGGCGAAAGCCUGAUGCAGCGACGCCGCGUGAGGGAUGACGGCCUUCGGGUUGUAAACCUCUUUCAGCAGGGAAGAAGCGAAAGUGACGGUACCUGCAGAAGAAGCACCGGCUAACUACGUG
rnacentral:rRNA from 1 species